CGUCUCGUGAAACCGCAUCUUUCCGGCCGGCGGAGGCUCGGGUCGGAUUUCGGCGUCUGCUGGGUCGCCAAUUCACACAGAGAACCGGCCGAAUAAAAAAUGUAUGAGCGCAACGCAGACGUGCCCUACUUGGUUCUAAUUUUCCGCUGCCUGCUGCAGCAGAGUCCUCCUUCUCCUUUUCGUCAUCGGAGCCCUGAAGAACAGAGACAAGGGCCCAAAAUGAAUGACAGGCUGCAGAUUCUGGAUUCCGGCGAGCAGCCCCUUUUGGGAGAGGGGUCCAGGUCUCUCCGUCCAGGCUGCUUACUGGAGCCGAGAUUUUUGGUGUCCCCUCAUUCCAGCCCCGGCCAUUAACAGC